rnacentral:rRNA from 1 species
UUAAGCGACUAAGCGUACACGGUGGAUGCCCUGGCAGUCAGAGGCGAUGAAGGACGUGCUAAUCUGCGAAAAGCGUCGGUAAGGUGAUAUGAACCGUUACAGCCGGCGAUGUCCGAAUGGGGAAACCCAGUGCAAUUCGUUGCACUAUCGUUAACUGAAUACAUAGGUUAACGAGGCGAACCGGGGGAACUGAAACAUCUA